rnacentral:antisense_RNA from 1 species
CUUUAUGGCGGGCGUGUCGGGCAGGCCUCGUGCCUGGCCGGGUUUGGUUGUACGACCGGUUUUCGACCCCGACACGUCCGCCACCCUG